rnacentral:rRNA from 1 species
UACGUAGGUGGCAAGCGUUGUCCGGAAUUACUGGGUGUAAAGCGCGUGUAGGCGGGAGGCCAAGUCUGCUGUGAAAUCGCCCGGCUCAACUGGGCGGGGUCGGUGGAAACUGGUCACCUGGAGGACGGUAGAGGCGAGUGGGAAUUCCCGGUGUAGUGGUGAAAUGCGUAGAGAAUCGGGAGGAACACCAGUGGCGAAGGCGGCUCG